GUGGCACCCAGCAAAAAUCAUGAGGCCUCUUUUUGCUACAGAAAUGUGACAUUUACAUACUUGAGGAUACUAUACUGUUCUAACCCAGCUGUAGGUUUAUAACAGAUUUAUACAUUUUAUAAUUUUGUUUAUCUACAGAGUGAGACAUUUGAGACUGCCACAACGGUAAUUCAUAAAAUAUGAGAUUCUGUUCUACUCGCUGUGUUUCAGGAUCUUCAACUCUCAACUGCAAGAUUAAAAUAGGAGACAAGGUCUACGUGAAGCCAUCUGUAGAAACGCCCAAAUAUCUCUGGGGUUCAGUCAGCCAUAAAAGCAUUGGCAGUGUCAUAAAUGUGCAGGGUGAGACUGUGACAGUAAAUUUCCCUGAGCAGGAAGGUUGGCUUGGUGAAGUUUCUGAAAUGGAGCUUGUAGUCAGUGCUGAUUUAGGGUCGCCCAGUCAUGCCUACUUCAAGAUAGGAAACAGAGUCAGUGUGAAAUCUUCAGUGAAAGAUCCAAAACAUGGAUGGGGAUCAGUCACUCACAACAGCAUCGGUGUCAUUAAAAGAAUUCAGGGCGAGUCUUUGACUGUAGAGUUCCCUGAGCAGACGGAUUGGACUGGUAUCGCUUCAGAAAUGGAACUCAUAAACGGUGAUGUUUCAGAAGUGCUCAGUUUAAGGCCUGGAGUGAGGGUCCGUGUUAAACCCACCAUCAGAACUCCAGCACAUGGCUGGGGAAGUGUCACCAAGCACAGCAUUGGAGUGGUUGAAGCUAUAGAUGGAACCAAAGUGACUGUGAACUUUCCUGAACAGUUAAGUUGGACUGGCAUUGUCUCAGAGAUGGAGGCUGUGCCUUAACGAUGAAACACAGCAUCCAGGAGCUGUUCACUACAUGUACACUGCACAAGGGUUAAAAAUAUAUAUUAUGUUUAGGGGUAAUGAGUUUGCUCUUAACACCAGGGUUUAAUGCACAGAUUAAAAAUGCCCACUAGGAUGACCUGACCCUUACUGUCUCAAAUAACUUAUUUUAACUGUGAAACAUAGUUAUUACAUAAACAUAAACAAGAUUGCAUGAAAAAGGUAUAUUGACACCAGCGUAAUAUAUAUGCUAAUAUAUAUGCUGAUACAGCCCAUCCCUUGAGUGUGUUUCUUAUUUUCUGUAUGUGAUGUUUUGACUCUGCUACUCUCUGUCUUAGUCUGAUUAUUUAAGAGUGCCACUGUGUACCUGCAUCUCAUAUGCUUGAGUAUAAUUACUCUGAAGCAGAGCAUGGCAGGAGAGAGGAGAUAAUCACCAGCAAACAAGCUUUAUUUUUAUUUUGUUUUCCUUCUUAAUAGUAGUUAUUGAUUUGUUGUUAAAGGGAUAAUCCAUCACAAAAUGAAAAUUUAGUCAUUAUUCACAUACUCCCAUGUCGUUCCAAACAAGUAAAAGCCAAAUGGCGCUACGCUGAUUUGGAGAGACACAGAGGAGAGGAAUUGUUGAAUAAAGUCGUUAUUUUUGUUUUCUUUGUGUACA
ensembl:lncRNA